CGGGGCUAUCAGGGGACAUAUUAUUUGUGCCCGGUGGCACGCAAUACCCGCAGGCUGGGAAGUGAGGGAGGAAGACAGGAGAGGACCAGCGGAGCUCUAGCCAGCAGCUCCGCCGGGUCCUCUCGCGGGAUUCUGCGCGUUGCCACGGUUACCGCGUUAACGCUCAUAUCUCGCGAGAGUGAACUCUAGCAUGCAGGCUAGAGUUCACUCUCACCACUGGGCACC